GCGCCCCUAGCUCAGCUGGAUAGAGCAUCUGACUACGGAUCAGAAGGUCAGGGGUUCGAAUCCCUUGGGGCGCACAA
rnacentral:tRNA from 1 species